rnacentral:rRNA from 1 species
GAUGAACGCUGGCGGCGUGCCUAAUACAUGCAAGUCGAGCGAAUGGAUUAAGAGCUUGCUCUUAUGAAGUUAGCGGCGGACGGGUGAGUAACACGUGUGUAACCUGCCCAUAAGACUGGGAUAACUCCGGGAAACCGGGGCUAAUACCGGAUAACAUUUUGAACCGCAUGGUUCGAAGUUGAAAGGACGCUUCAGCUGUCACUUAUGGAUGGACCCGCGUCGCAUUAGCUAGUUGGUGAGGUAACGGCUCACCAAGGCAACGAUGCGUAGCCGACCUGAGAGGGUGAUCGGCCACACUGGGACUGAGACACGGCCCAGACUCCUACGGGAGGCAGCAGUAGGGAAUCUUCCGCAAUGGACGAAAGUCUGACGGAGCAACGCCGCGUGAGUGAUGAAGGCUUUCGGGUCGUAAAACUCUGUUGUUAGGGAAGAACAAGUGCUAGUUGAAUAGCUGACACCUUGACGGUACCUAACCAGAAAGCCACGGCUAACUACGUGCCAGCCGCCGCGUAA